AACGCUAGCUACAGGCUUAACACAUGCAAGUCGAGGGGCAGCAUGGUCUUAGCUUGCUAAGGCCGAUGGCGACCGGCGCACGGGUGAGUAACACGUAUCCAACCUUCCGUCUACUCUUGGACAGCCUUCUGAAAGGAAGAUUAAUACAAGAUGGCAUCAUGAGUUCACAUGUUCACAUGAUUAAAGGUAUUCCGGUAGACGAUGGGGAUGCGUUCCAUUAGAUAGUAGGCGGGGUAACGGCCCACCUAGUCUUCGAUGGAUAGGGGUUCUGAGAGGAAGGUCCCCCUCAUUGGAACUGAGACACGGUCCAAACUCCUACGGGAGGCAGCAGUGAGGAAUAUUGGUCAAUGGGCGCAGGCCUGAACCAGCCAAGUAGCGUGAAGGAUGACUGCCCUAUGGGUUGUAAACUUCUUUUAUAAAGGAAUAAAGUCGGGUAUGUAUACCCGUUUGCAUGUACUUUAUGAAUAAGGAUCGGCUAACUCCGUGCCAGCAGCCGCGGUAAUACGGAGGAUCCGAGCGUUAUCCGGAUUUAUUGGGUUUAAAGGGAGCGUAGAUGGAUGUUUAAGUCAGUUGUGAAAGUUUGCGGCUCAACCGUAAAAUUGCAGUUGAUACUGGAUAUCUUGAGUGCAGUUGAGGCAGGCGGAAUUCGUGGUGUAGCGGUGAAAUGCUUAGAUAUCACGAAGAACUCCGAUUG
rnacentral:rRNA from 1 species